rnacentral:tRNA from 12 species
CUCCGCAUGGUGUAGUUGGUUUAUCACGUUCGGCUGUAACUGAAGAAUUGCCACCGAAAGGUCCCUAGUUCGAUUCUGGGUGGGGAGA